AAGGUAAGAAGCAAUUUCUUGAGAGAUGCACAUUUUAAUUUUUUUAGUUUUUUCUGUACAUUUUUCACAACUUAAUCACGGUAGUGAUCAGAGUGGGGCAGUUCUUGAAGCUUGCGAAUUCCAGGCAUCUUCUGUGUCUGGAGAUGUUGGCCUUUUACAUCCAUUAGUCUUCACUUUCAGAGACUAAUAGAUGACAUGGAAGUUAUUUGGUUUAUCUUGGCACAAUACCGCCUAGGCAGCAGAUCGUGAAGGUUAUCUUAAUGUAUUUGAUAGAAAAAAGAACGUAUGGAUGCAGUUGUGUGCGAGUUGUCUGGUGAUUCUGUUUACCGAGAAAAAUCUUCUUUGAAUGCGAGCUGAAAGUAACUCUAGGAAUAUUAAUGGCUUAUAUUUAUCAACUGAAUUCUAAAAUUCUCCCUGUCAAUAUACAGCGGUGUUUAACAAGGAGGAUGACAUCGGCACCUAUACUAUCAAAGCUGUGGAUGAUCCGAGGACCCUGAACAAAAUUCUGUACAUCAAACCUCCUGCUAACACCUACUCGUUUAAUGAUCUUGUGUCUUUGUGGGAGAGAAAGAUUGGCAAGACCCUGGAGAGGGUUUAUGUUCCAGAGGAGCAAGUUCUGAAGAAUAUUCAAGGUCAGGGAUGCGUUUCUAUUUGAUUUAAGCAUGUAGAAUUGUCUAUUUCUCUCUGAGAUUUAAGUAUUCUGAUGUUGAUCGGUCUACUUGUCUGGUGAUAUUGCAGAGGCGGCAGUUCCACUCAAUGUGAUAUUGGCCAUAUCUCAUUCUGUUUUUGUGAAAGGAGACCAAACCAACUUUGAGAUUGAGCCGUCAUUCGGAGUGGAAGCUUCAGAGCUCUAUCCUGACGUCAAAUACACGACCGUGGAUCAGUACCUUGAUCAGUUUGUCUGAUGGCCGAAACUGCCUGGGAUUGGUUGAUAUUUCACAGCAGUUUGAAUCAUGAAUAUUAUAGGAUUCUGCUUGUUAGGAUCCUUGUGUAAAAUGUCGCUCCCACUGAUCAUCUUAUGGCGUGUACAACCUUCAAAUAUGAGGACAUACUAUGAACAUUCGGUUUGUUUGCAUCUAUGCAGUGCUUGGAGAAGUUUCUUCUGUUUUGGAGUUGAUAUCGUUUUUUAUUUAUGGGAAAGCAAAAAGAAAGGCAUUGGGUUUCUCUGAUUUUGUGUAUUUUAUGUGGUGCGUCCUUGGUGUGGUAAUGAAUUGGAGCCUUUGACGAUGAGGUCCACCCUUGGCAAGGAUGUCGUGGCCUUCGCGCAGGCCUGGCGAUUGGCAGGGGAAGAACGGGGAAAAAAAGAAGGAAAAAAAAGAAGGCAGGAAGAAAUGCAAAGAAACAGAAGGAAAAAAAAUAAAAAAAUCAGAUUUUUUAUUUAAGUUGGUUUUUUUUUUUUUUAAUUUUUACGUUAGUAUUGGUUGUGUUGCAUUGUUGAUUGUAUUGUAAGGUAAAUUGUUAAAAGAUUUAGAAUCAAAUUAAUUAAAUUUAAAAGUUAAAUUUAAAAGUUGAGGAUUGAAUGAAUAUAGGUCGAUUGUUGUCGAGUCAUUCGACAUUUCAACUCUCGUGAUGUUUGCUUUUAUCAGUGGAGGUUGCGAAUUGUGAAUGUAGUAACCUUGGCCAAAAAAUUAAAGAGUUAAUAUUAAGAAAAAUUUUAAAUUAGUAUAUUCGUGAUAAGUUUAUUCUAAAUAAAUUUUUUGAUCAUAAAAAAUCUCGAACUAAUAUAUUUAUGAUAAAUUUAUUUUAAAUUGAUAAACUCGUGACAAUUGCUAAACUUUUCAACUGGUGUGAUGGAUAAAUUUACCCUCUAUUAACUUCCAUCAAAUUUUACCAUUAAAUUUGUCAAGAUAAAUGACACAUUGUGAUGUGUUAUGGUGACAUGGCAAGUCCACGUAAUAAUUCAUAGGAUUAAUAUCACGAAAAAUUCCAUAUUUAUUAUAGGUGUAUCGUUAAAUUUAUUACAAAAGUAACGUUAAAUUUAUCAUAAGUAUAUCAUUUUGAGUUUUUCAUGAUAUUUACCCUAUGGACAUGCCAUAUCAUCAUGUGUCAUCCAUGUUAGCAAAUUUAACAGUAAAAUUUGACAGAAGUUAAUGGAAAAUAAAUCUGUCGCAAGUUUAUCAGUUUUGAGUUUUUUGUUGUUAAAAUAUUAGUUUUGAGUAAAUUUGUCAGAAUCUAUCAAUUUGGGAUUUUUUGUGACAAAAAAAUAAUUUGAGAUAAAUUUAUUACAAGUGUACCAGUUUAAGUUUUUUGAUGGUAAAAAAAAUUAGUUUAAAAUAAAUUUGUAAUAAGUAUAUAGAAUUUGGGGUCUUUCAUAGUAAAAAUAGAAUCCCUAACACUUCACAAUUAUGAUUACUUAAAUUUAUAGCACCAUCAAAAUUAAAUUUUCUUGUUUUUUGCUAAGUUAAAUCUAUCUUACUUCACAAUAACUUAAUUGAUCACUGAAAUUGGACAAAAUUGUUAUCUUUUGUUUAUUUUCCCACUUUCCAUGUGCCCUUUCUCCGGUGAAGGAUUGUGUCAACAAGUAAGAUUAUUUCACUGAAAAGACGAUUAUGCCCCUUUCGGAAUCAAAAUCCAUUGACAAUCCAUCAUGAAGACAAGAACCCCCCCUCUCCACAGCAGAGUCGCUUCAGAGACCGAGCAAGUUCGCCGAGAAAAACCAUGCCUCCUGCUGGGAAAACUCUCCGAUGGCCGAUUAGAGCAAACUCCUGAUGAUUGGAGGCACUUAGGGUUUCAUAAUACCCUAGCUCAAUUUGAUUAUAGUCAAACUUUCAAUCAAAACUCGAGCUUGGAUUUUAUAAGCUCAAAUAUUAUAUCAUCAUAUAUAUUGUUAUAGUUAUCAAAUGCUUUUAAUAAUGAAAGCUCUAUAAGGUAUUGAGCUAAGUACUGAAAAGCGGAAACUCAACUCAAUAAGAUACUUGAGGGAUUUGAACUCGUGCUUGACUCAAAACUAAGCAAGUCGAACUCAAGCUACUCUUGAGUAACUCGACUUGGUUUUAGCCAUAUGCGCAAGUAGGGGUGUCAAAAAAGCCCACGUUGACCAGACCCUAGUUUUCUUUGGAUACAAAUUUUUAGAUGUUUGUAUCAUGAGGGUUGGGGUAGGGUUGGGCCGGGUUAGGCUUUUUUGACAUUCUAUGUAGGGUAGCUUUGAAUAAAUUUCUGAUUUUACACCUUCAAUGGAACCAUUUUACCCGUUCUCUUGUAUUAUAUGAUAUUCGAGUCUUAAGCGGGUUGGGUCAAGUCAAUCGCGUGCCCAUAGGGUUUUGGGUUGGGCCCAGUAUCAUGUAAACGCAGUCCCAUUCCCACCCCUUGACAUCCCUAAUGCGGGAGUGAAACCUUACUAGGACAUAGGCUCCAAUUUGAGCAACCUCUUUUGACCCAUCAUCUCAGCAUCAAGCCUUAGUUGACAAAAGCGAGUUGUAGGAUGUGUACGACAACCAUUCUAUUUCUGUUCCAAAUAAUUUUCUAUUUCAGAUUUGUUUAUGGAACAUAAAUCUGUUUGAUAACGCAAUUUUAUUUUUAUAUUUUUGAAAUAAAUUUUAAUCUAGAAAUAGGUUUGGAACAAAAAUGAGAAGUGGAAAUUCUUGUUAUUGCUUAUUCUCUCUACUAGUUAGUCACUUGCCCGUUGCUAUCGCCUGCCGUCCGCCACUGUUGUCCACCAUCCGUCGCCGGUUACCGUUGUUGUCGUCUGCCGCCUCCAAGGAAGGAGAAAUUUUGUAUCAAAAUUCUAUUCCGGGAACAGAAAUUUUACAUCAAUUAUUAAACAUGAAUUUUUCUCAGAAACUCAUCCAAAAAAAGAAAAAAAGAAAAAUCUAUUUCUUUUUUAAAAAUAAUUUCUAAUCAGAAUAAUUAUUAUUUGCGUCCGGUAGUUUUCAUCCAAUGCUGUCGAGACUUUACCACGCAUGCACCAUGGGCACUACGCACCUAACCCCGGUCAAAUUAUUCACUUUCGUUUGGUAGGACUCGUGCAAUGCUUCUGUUCUCCGCAUGCUUUUUAGUUUUUCCCUUCUUUUUGAAUCUUCUGGUCUACGGGAGUGCAUAUAUGUUGCUACUCCUGGGGUUCUGUCAAAAAAAAAAAAAAAAAGAAGAAGAAAGAAGCCACAAAAAAUAUACAAAUUAUGUCAACUGUGACAUAUAUAUAUAUAUUAAACUUUUUUUUUGUAACAUAAAAAUCCCCAAACUAUGAACUUUUUCUUGUUGUUUGACAUAUUUAUCCUCUGACAAGGUUUAUCAAAUGAUUUUCUAGCUAAAACAACGUCGGUUUAGCAUCAUGUUAAUAUCAUUUGCUUUCUGUCAUCCAUGUAAUCGAAUCUUGAUAAAGAGUAAAUGUAUCAUGUAAGUACAAGUUUUGGGUUUUUAGUGUCACACAAAAAUAUUUAGGGUAAAUGUGUAAGAGUGAGUAUAGUUUGAAAUUUUUGAAGGUCUUUUCCAAAAAAAAAAAAUGGUUAAUACCUUUAAAAGGUUAAUACCUUAAAAAACCUAAAACUGGUAUAUGUGUGACAAAUUUACCCUAAACUAUUUUUUUAACUAUGACAAAUCCCAAGUUGGUAUACCUAUGAUAAAUUUAUCUCAAAUUUGUAUACUUAUGACAAAUUUACCCUAAACUAAUUUAUAAUAUCGCCAAAAACCCCAAACUAGUACAUUUGUGAUAAAUAUAUCCUCAAUUAAAUUGAAUUAAUACCACAAAAAAUUGCAAAAUUUGUAUAACUGUGAUUAAUGGAGAGUAAAAUCCCAAAUUGAUACACCAACGAAUUGUCACAUGUCAUUCAACUUAAUAAUUUGACAGUAAAAUUUAACGGAAACUAAUGUAGGGUAAAUUGAUUAAAAGAAUACUAGUUGGGGUAAAUUUGUCAAAAAUGUACUAUUUUGAGGUUUUUGAUCGUCAAAAAAUUAGUUUGAGGUAUAUUUGUUAUAGGUGUACCGGUUUGGGAUUUUUCAGGGCAUUAAUCCAAAAAAAUGGCAUUGGUGUACUUGACUAAGACAUAUAACUACCUUUUGAAAAUUGUUUGUUUGUGAUAACAUGCUAAAAGGGGUUUUUCUUUAGCUUGUAAUACGUUUUAAUGUGCAUAUAACUAUGCCCGUGCUAUUUAAGGUUCUUAAUUCUUAUGUUCGUUGGCUAAUUCUUUUCACACCGGCCGUCAAGGCUUAAAUGGCCCAUUGAUGAUCGUUUUUACCAUUGCUCAUAUAGUUUCAUGUCGGCGUAAAUCUCUCAAUGUUAGUUGGAUGAACUUUUAGACGACCAUUUACUAAAUUAAGGAGAUGGAUAAAAGGAAAAUGUCAAAGAGUGCUCCUUAGGCACAUGUUAAGUCUUAUUAAAUUUGAUUUGAAAAUUUAAAGUUAAUUAUUUGAAGCAAGCGAUUUUAUUAAAAUAUAUGGACCUGAGCAGGUCCUUAAACUGCUCUACCCUGAAUAGGGCAUCCCAGGGUGCCCAGUUAGCCCCCAUUUACAGGGGGUUUAACUGGAAAUUACGGGAUAAAGUCCCCAUUGGGUAUCCUCGCCAACUCCCGACAAGGGAGGGGACCCACCAUUGGAUCCCCGUGAAGCCCUUCUCCUAACAUACUAGGUUGGGUUCAGGGAAAUGAAGAUGGCCCGGGCAGCCCCCAUUGAAGCAAGCGAUUUUAUUAAAAUAUCUAAUUGUAAUUGUAUUGAAAGGUGUUACUUUUAAAUUUCUUCAUAUUUACUUUUAUAAAGAUUAGCAGGAUUUACACCAAUUGGUCAAUGCUUUGAAAGGUCCCAACUUCAUUAAUGCUUCAAAGACUUUUGUAGAUACCUCCACCUUUCGAAAAUGAUGAAUCGGGACAUCUUCAUGAAUCUGGACAAUCUGAAGAUUUUUUUUAUUAAAUCAGAAACCGUUGCAAAAAGCCAAUUUACAUGGUUGUUGUUACAUAAAUUAAAGUGGAAAAGUAAAAUUGAAAUUACACAAGCUGCCCGUUCAACACUGACUAUCCAAUAUUUUCCCAUAUUUUUACAAAAGUUUCAUACUUUUCGUUCCUAUAAUUCACUAAUAUUUCUAAUGAUUUCCCCACGCUUUCAAUUAUUCUAAAAUUAUUUUUAAUUUUCAAAAAAUAUCUAAUCAAGUUUUUUCAACAUUAAAUUCGAUUGACGUGAUUGUUUAAGGCUGCCAGAAUGUGAUGUUGAUCAAAUAUUGCUUACUUAUAAAAAUAAUUAAUUGACUAGAAAAGUAUGGGGAUCUAAGCUUUGGAUAGAGUUUUCAACAACCAGUAGGCAAUAUGAUCCACAACACAUUUUGGCAUCAUUCGACAGACAUGUUAAUUGGACUUGGCCGAAUUUGAUGAUGGAGAGAUCGACUAGGCAUGUUACAUGAGUAGAAUCACUUGAUUAUAAAAAUUAAAAUUAUAGAUACUUGAUUAAGAAAAUGGUGAAGGUACAGAGAUUAAUAUAACUUCGAAUACUUUACAUGUCCUAAAAAAUCUCGUCAUAAUUGAAACCCGAGGUUUCGCUUUGCAGAUUUUUUUUUUUUUGGCGAGCAAGGAUGAAAUUUCCAUAGUGAAUUGGUUAAGGAUAAACUUAGAAAUAACGAGAUUAAGGAUAAAUUUAGAAAUAACGAGAUUAAACAAAAAUUUAUGGAUACUUGGGAUUUAUCGAAUUGAUGUUAAUGUUUCAAGGAAUCUUGUAGGCGUGGAACUGACAAGAAGAAGAAAAGGCAAAUGCAUGAUGAAGAACCUGGACAAUUUCUCGAACCAAGUUCCUAUCUCUAAAGCCCGACCAUUCGUUGAUAGUGGGCGUGCGUCAUUUUCUUGAUCAUGGCACUUCCAAAUAUCUCGCUUACUUUACAAAUUAAGUAAUGGUCCAAUCUUAAAAUCCUUUACAUUUAAUGAUAAACAGAUUAUUGGGUUAUGUGCUUGAUUCACUUAAAUCAUGCUCGCUCUUCAAUCCUUCAAUGAAUCUAACAAGGUUGCUCUCCUUUUUUUUUUUUUUUUUGUUGUUGUUGUUGUUGAGGAUUUGUGAACUAAUUGUAUAGCUCAUUGUCCCUUCAGACUAUUAUCACUUCCUUCUUUCGAUACCAUAAAGUAAAUCUAAAAUGUGAUCACUUCUUCCUUACUAGACAAUUGAAAAACCAAUGUUAAAUGUAAUGGCUUGAUACGCUGGACUUGAGCAUGUCCUUAAACUGCUUCUGUUAUCGGAGUUAACCCCAACGGUAAAAUGAGAUAAUGAUAACUGGAGGAGACCGGACCAAACCUUAAACGGUUCUCCCCGCCUUGAUUCCCGUGAAGCCCUUCUCCUUGCGUACUAGGCUGAGUUCAGGAAAAUGAUAGGCAGCUGGUCUGAUAGUGGGCGUGCGUCAUUUUCUUGAUCAUGGAACUUCCAAAUAUCUCGCUUACUUUACAAAUUAAGUAACGGUCCAAUCUUAAAAUCCUUUACAUUUAAUGAUAAACAGAUUAUUGGGUUAUGUGCCUGAUUCACUUAAAUCAUGCUCGCUCUUCAAUCCUUCAAUGAAUCUAACAAGGUUGCUCUCUUUUGUUGUUGUUGUUGUUGUUGUUGUUAAGGAUUUGUGAACUAAUUGUAUAGCUCAUUGUCCCUUUAGACCAUUAUCACUUCCUUCUUUCGAUACUAUAAAGUAAAUCUAAAAUGUGAUCACUUCUUCCUUACUAGACAAUUGAAAAACCAAUGUUAAACGUAAUGGUUUGAUACGCAAUUGAAAAAAUAAAAUCAUAAUAUGAAUUAAAUUCGAGUAUUUCACACUUCAAAAUUACAUGAUUGCUUAAAUCUUCAGCACCAUUAAAUUUUCUUAUUUUGGCUUAUUUCACACGUAUUUGAUUUUCUUCUGUUUAAUUUUUUCACUUUUUUUUUCUGGCGAAUUGUUUAUUUUCAAACUUUUUUUUUUCUAUCGAAGUUUAUUUAUUUGCAAACUUUACAUGUACCUUUUUCGUUGAAAGCGGUAAAAAAUCAUUUCAAUGAAAAGACUAUUAUGCCCUUCGAGAGUCGACGCUAAUCCCCCCCCCCCCUCUCUCUCUCUCUCUCUCUCUCUCUCCAGUCACAGCAGAGUCGCUUUUAGAAGCCGAUCAAGUUCGCCGGAAAACACCGCGCCUCCGCCGUGAAAACCACUCAGAGAUGGCCGCGAAGAGCAAGGUCCUGGUGAUCUGAGGCACUGGAUACGUCGGAAAGUUCAUCGUAGAAGCCAGUGCUAAGUCCGGUUGCCCUACCUUUGCUCUCGUGAGGGAGUCCACUCUCUCCAACCCUGCUAAGGCCAAGAUCGUCGAAGGUUUCAAGAGCCUCGGCGUCAAUUUAGUUCACGUGCGUAGUUCUUCCCGUGCGAUCGUGUUCGCUUCGCAUGUUUGGUUCUGCUUUGAGAAAAUCAAAGCGGCGCCUGCCGUUAUGUCUCGUUCCGCAUUUCCGAGAAAUGUUUUUACCACUAGAAUUGGAGUCGAUUUUUCAUCUCAUUAUGGAUGAAUGGUGUACCAUCUAGAUGAAUUCAUACAUAUUCGUACGUGUUACUCGGAGAUCGACAUCUUUACACAAACAAAAAGGUUCUUUGACCCCAAACUCGUGCUCUCCCCAAUCUCGGUCCUUGUAUGGAUAUUGGGCUGCUUACAAACUCCAGGAGGCUUUAUUUAUUCAGAACCUGUGUGGUUGGAUUUCUUCUAGGUCACCGAAAAGAACAAAGAGUUUCUAGCACUCAAUAUGGAUCAUGGUCAUCUACCCAGCUCUUGGAUCAUGAAUGCAAAUCAUGAACUACUUAAUCCUUCAAAUGUUCUUUUUUCGGUGAUAUUAUUAUUGUUGUAAAUAAGUUACCAAAACACAGUUAGUGGAUAGUUUAGUCGUUGUUGCUUUGGGGGUUGAUGGUUUAUAAUGAGUAGAGCUCAGCAUGCUCACAAAAGCCAAUCAACUUACCUGAUAUUUUUUUACUUGUGAAAGUGUCCAAGCAAGCAGCAUGUUUGCAUUUUUAUACUGGACAGAGUUAUCUGGCAAAUGCCUUAAUAAUUACAUCUUCAGUUUUCUUUUCUUGUAUUUUUCUAAUACCUCUGGGAUCGAAUUUGCUUUGUUGCUUGUAUUGAUUCACUUGUAAUCAUUUUUUACUUUGUUAUAGUAACACAUUAAAAUGUGAAAUUCAGUCUUGUUUUCUUUAUUUGCCAGAACUCAUGUAAGUUUGUUCGAUAAGGGGAAUAUGCUCUAGUUUUUGUUGCUUUCUAAUAAAAAUGUUUCUUCUAAUUCAACUAAUUUUCUCCUCAGAGAUUCUUGCCUUCAGAGUUUGGAAACGACGUAGAUUGUGUCCAUGCGGUGGAGCCAGCAAAAAGUGCAUUUGCUAUCAAGGCCAAGAUUCACCGCCUUGUUGAGGCCGAGGGAAUCCCUUAUACCUAUGUGUCUUCUAACUUUUUUGUAGGUUACUUCCUCCCAACAUUGUCAUAGCCUGGGGCUACAGCUCCCCCUAGAGAUAAAGUUGUUAUCUUAGGGGAUGGAAAUGUAACAGGUAAGAAGCAACUUGAGAUUCGCAUUUUAAUUCAUUGAGAUUUUUUUGGAAAUUUUUCACAACUUAAUUAUUGUAGUAAUCAGAGUGGGGCACUUCUUGAAGCUUGAGAAUUCCAAGCAUCUUCUGUAUUUGGAGAUGUUGGCCAUUAGUCUUCUCUUUCAGAUAUUAAUAGAUGAUAUGAAAAUUCUGUGGUUUUUCUUGGCACAAUACUGCCUAGGCGGCAGAUCAUGAAGGUUAUUUUAAUGUAGUUGGGAGAGGAAAGAACAUAUGGAUGCAGCUCUCUGGUGAUUCUGUUUACUGAGAAAGUUCUUUGAAUGUGAGCUGAACGUAACUCUAGGAAUAUCAAUGGCUUAUAGUUAUUAACCAAAUUCUAAAAUUCUCCCUGUCAAUACACAUCGGUGUUUAACAAGGAGGAUGACAUUUGCACAUAUACCAUCAAAGCCGUGGAUGAUCUGAGGACCCUGAACAAAAUUCUAUACAUCAGACCUCCUGCCAACACCUACUCGUUUAAUGAUCUUGUGUCUUUGUGGGAGAGAAAGAUCAACAAGACCCUGGAGAGGGUUUAUGUUCUAGAGGAGCAAGUUCUGAAGAACAUUCAAG
rnacentral:lncRNA from 1 species